ensembl:misc_RNA Y_RNA Y RNA
GGCUGGUCCGAAGGUGGUGAGUUAUCUCAAUUGAUUGUUCACAGUCAGUACAGAUUGAACUCCUCGUUCUCCUCUUUCUACCCUUCUCACUACUGCACUUGACUAGUCUUAA